rnacentral:rRNA from 1 species
UACGUAGGGGGCUAGCGUUGUCCGGAAUUACUGGGCGUAAAGGGUGAGUAGGUGGUCAUUAAAGUCAGAUGUAAAAGGCAAUGGCUCAACCAUUGUAAGCAUUUGAAACUUAAUGACUUGAGUGCAGGAGAGGUAAAUGGAAUUCCUAGUGUAGCGGUGAAAUGCGUAGAUAUUAGGAAGAACACCAGUGGCGAAGGCGAUUUACUGGACUGUAACUGACACUGAGUCACGAAAGCGUGGGGAGC